rnacentral:rRNA from 1 species
AGCGAACGCUGGCGGCAGGCUUAACACAUGCAAGUCGAGCGCCGUAGCAAUACGGAGCGGCAGACGGGUGAGUAACACGUGGGAACGUACCUUUUGGUUCGGAACAACACAGGGAAACUUGUGCUAAUACCGGAUAAGCCCUUACGGGGAAAGAUUUAUCGCCGAAAGAUCGGCCCGCGUCUGAUUAGCUAGUUGGUGAGGUAACGGCUCACCAAGGCGACGAUCAGUAGCUGGUCUGAGAGGAUGAUCAGCACACUGGGACUGAGACACGGCCCAGACUCCUACGGGAGGCAGCAGUGGGGAAUAUUGGACAAUGGGCGCAAGCCUGAUCCAGCCAUGCCGCGUGAGUGAUGAAGGCCCUAGGGUUGUAAAGCUCUUUUGUGCGGGAAGAUAAUGACUGUACCGCAAGAAUAAGCCCCGGCUAACUUCGUGCCAGCCGCCGCCGUAA